rnacentral:rRNA from 1 species
AUUGAACGCUGGCGGCAGGCCUAACACAUGCAAGUCGAGCGGAUGAAGGGAGCUUGCUCCUGGAUUCAGCGGCGGACGGGUGAGUAAUGCCUAGGAAUCUGCCUGGUAGUGGGGGAUAACGUCCGGAAACGGGCGCUAAUACCGCAUACGUCCUGAGGGAGAAAGUGGGGGAUCUUCGGACCUCACGCUAUCAGAUGAGCCUAGGUCGGAUUAGCUAGUUGGUGGGGUAAAGGCCUACCCAGGCGACGAUCCGUAACUGGUCUGAGAGGAUGAUCAGUCACACUGGAACUGAGACACGGUCCAGACUCCUACGGGAGGCAGCAGUGGGGAAUAUUGGACGAUGGGCGAAAGCCUGAUCCAGCCAUGCCGCGUGUGUAAAGAAGGUCUUCGGAUUGUAAAGCACGUUAAGUUGGGAGGAAGGGCAGUAAGUUAAUACCUUGCUGUUUUGACGUUACCAACAGAAUAAGCACCGGCUAACUUCGUG